GCUAUACAUGCAAGUCGAGCGAACAGAUAAGGAGCUUGCUCCUUUGACGUUAGCGGCGGACGGGUGAGUAACACGUGGGUAACCUACCUAUAAGACUGGGAUAACUUCGGGAAACCGGAGCUAAUACCGGAUAACAUUUGGAACCGCAUGGUUCUAAAGUGAAAGAUGGUUUUGCUAUCACUUAUAGAUGGACCCGCGCCGUAUUAGCUAGUUGGUAAGGUAACGGCUUACCAAGGCGACGAUACGUAGCCGACCUGAGAGGGUGAUCGGCCACACUGGAACUGAGACACGGUCCAGACUCCUACGGGAGGCAGCAGUAGGGAAUCUUCCGCAAUGGGCGAAAGCCUGACGGAGCAACGCCGCGUGAGUGAUGAAGGGUUUCGGCUCGUAAAACUCUGUUAUUAGGGAAGAACAAAUGUGUAAGUAACUGUGCACGUCUUGACGGUACCUAAUCAGAAAGUCACGGCUAGCUACGUGCCAGCAGCCGCGGUAAUACGUAGGUGGCAAGCGUUAUCCGGAAUUAUUGGGCGUAAAGCGCGCGUAGGCGGUUUCUUAAGUCUGAUGUGAAAGCCCACGGCUCAACCGUGGAGGGUCAUUGGAAACUGGGAAACUUGAGUGCAGAAGAGGAAAGUGGAAUUCCAUGUGUAGCGGUGAAAUGCGCAGAGAUAUGGAGGAACACCAGUGGCGAAGGCGACUUUCUGGUCUGUAACUGACGCUGAUGUGCGAAAGCGUGGGGAUAAA
rnacentral:rRNA from 1 species